rnacentral:rRNA from 1 species
AUUGAACGCUGGCGGCAGGCUUAACACAUGCAAGUCGAGCGGGGUGAUGGUGCUUGCACUAUCACUUAGCGGCGGACGGGUGAGUAAUGCUUAGGAAUCUGCCUAUUAGUGGGGGACAACAUCUCGAAAGGGAUGCUAAUACCGCAUACGUCCUACGGGAGAAAGCAGGGGAUCACUUGUGACCUUGCGCUAAUAGAUGAGCCUAAGUCGGAUUAGCUAGUUGGUGGGGUAAAGGCCUACCAAGGCGACGAUCUGUAGCGGGUCUGAGAGGAUGAUCCGCCACACUGGGACUGAGACACGGCCCAGGCUCCUACGGGAGGCAGCAGUGGGGAAUAUUGGACAAUGGGGGGAACCCUGAUCCAGCCAUGCCGCGUGUGUGAAGAAGGCCUUAUGGUUGUAAAGCACUUUAAGUGAGGAGGAGGCUCUUUUGGUUAAUACCCAAGAUGAGUGGACGUUACUCGCAGAAUAAGCACCGGCUAACUCUGUGCCAGCCGCCGCAGUAA